rfam:Erinaceus europaeus unplaced genomic scaffold scaffold00632, whole genome shotgun sequence
AUGGGAGGACGGCCUCUCACUGCUUCCCUACAGAUGGGAGGACGGCCUCU